rnacentral:snRNA from 1 species
GGAUGUGUAGGUGAUAUGGCUUCAACACCUGUCACCCUUCUGAUCAUUAAAGUUGAUUCUGCCUGACCUGACUCGUUAGGUUGUGUUUCCUUUUUCCCUCAUCACUUCGUGAAAUCUUUCUUGAAACUCCACAUUGGGUCAAAGAGGAUGAUCUUCUCAGAAUUAAGGAGGACAGGCCUCUAGUCAAGAAUACAUGAGUAGGUAGACUUCUAUACUAGAAUCUAUAAACACGGCACCAAGGUUCAUUUUUAUUUUGAGCCAUGUCCUCAUACUACACUCUAGACUGGCCUGUGGUUCAGUAAGUUUUA